GAUAUACACGGGAGUGAGGGCAUGGGUGCUAAGGUCCAUGUCCGAGAGGGAAACAACCCGGACCAUCAGCUAAGGUCCCUAAAUAUAUGCUAAGUUGUUUUAACGAAGUGCGUACUGCAUAGACAGCUAGGAUGUUGGCUUGGAAGCAGCCAUUCAUUUAAAGAGUGCGUAACAGCUCACUAGUCGAGCGGUCGUGCGUGGAUGAUAAUCGGGCAUAAGCAUAUUACCGAAGCUAUGGACUCAUAAUUACUUAUGAGUGGUAGGGGAGCAUUCUUGCUACGUAGAAGCGGAUUUGUAAAGAUCCGUGGAGUGUCAAGAAAAGAAAAUGUAGGCAUAAGUAACGAUAAGCGGAGUGAGAAACUCCGCCGCCAAUAGACUAAGGUUUCCUGAUCAACGCUAAUCGGAUCGGGGUUAGUCGGGACCUAAGGCGAACCCGAAAGGGGUAGUCGAUGGACAACAGGUUAAAGACCGCGUACUGACUGAUUGUACGUUGAAGGGUGUAGAUAUACGAUUUAUAGGCAAAUCCGUAAAUUGUGUCGAACCUGAUAGUACUGCGACUCUAUGGACGAGCAGAUAGUGUCUGUAAUCAUAUUUCCAAGAAAAACCUCUAAGCUUCAGGUAAUAGCCGCCCGUACCGCAAACCGACACAGGUAGUCAAGUAGAGAAUACUGAGGCGCUCGAGUGAUUCAUGGCUAAGGAACUAGGCAAAAUAACCCUGUAACUUCGGGAGAAAGGGUGCUCUCGCAAGAGAGCCGCAGUGAAAUGGUUCUGGCGACUGUUUAUCAAAAACACAUGGCUUUGCAAAAUUGAAAGAUGACGUAUAAGGCCUGACACCUGCCCGGUGCCGGAAGGUUAAGAGGGGAUGUUAUUCCUUAAGGAAGAAGCAUUGAAUUGAAGCCCCGGUAAACGGCGGCCGUAACUAUAACGGUCCUAAGGUAGCGAAAUUCCUUGUCGGGUAAGUUCCGACCCGCACGAAUGGUGCAACGAUCAGAACACUGUCUCGGCCAUGAGCUCGGUGAAAUUGUAGUAUCGGUGAAGAUGCCGAUUACCCGCAACGGGACGGAAAGACCCCGUGAACCUUCCUUGAAAUACGACCCUUUAUAUACUCGUGGUCUAAUCCCUAAAGGGAGACAUUGUUUGGUGGGUAGUUUGACUGGGGUGGUCUCCUCCGAAAGCGUAACGGAGGAUUCUAAAGGUACCCUCAUGACGAUUGGUAACCGUCAGUAGAGUGCAAUGGCACAAGGGUGCUUGACUGUGAGACAGACAAGUCGAACAGGUACGAAAGUAGAGCAUAGUGAUCCGGCGAUUCCGCAUGGAAGGGUCGUCGCUCAAAGGAUAAAAGGUACUCCGGGGAUAACAGGCUUAU
rnacentral:rRNA from 1 species